rnacentral:rRNA from 1 species
GAUGAACGCUGGCGGCGUGCCUAAUACAUGCAAGUCGAGCGAACAGACGAGGAGCUUGCUCCUCUGAUGUUAGCGGCGGACGGGUGAGUAACACGUGGAUAACCUACCUAUAAGACUGGGAUAACUUCGGGAAACCGGAGCUAAUACCGGAUAACAUGUUGAACCGCAUGGUUCAACAGUGAAAGACGGUCUUGCUGUCACUUAUAGAUGGAUCCGCGCCGCAUUAGCUAGUUGGUAAGGUAACGGCUUACCAAGGCAACGAUGCGUAGCCGACCUGAGAGGGUGAUCGGCCACACGGGAACUGAGACACGGUCCAGACUCCUACGGGAGGCAGCAGUAGGGAAUCGUCCGCAAUGGGCGAAAGCCUGACGGAGCAACGCCGCGUGAGUGAAGAAGGUCUUCGGAUCGUAAAACUCUGUUAUUAGGGAAGAACAAAUGUGUAAGUAACGAUGCACGUCUUGACGGUACCUAAUCAGAAAGCCACGGCUAACUACGUG